rnacentral:rRNA from 1 species
AUGCUUAACAGGGUAUUUUGGUAUGCUAUUAUGUUUAUUUUUUCACUGCAUAGUAUUCCUGAAGCAUAUUUGAUCAACAGAUUUGAUGUGCCAAUGCAAUUCUUUACCUUACUGUAUGCCAAUGCAAUAGACACAACACCUCUCAUGAGAUCUAGCCUAAAUAAUGGAGCUCAAGGCCAUACAUUUCAUUGGGCUGCAUAUAGUAUAGAAAAUGUUACAAUUUCUGGAUUUGAACAACAACUAUCUUACUACACACACGGAAAGAACCAGAUAGAUAGCUUACCUAUAUGUGCUUCACUAACAAUCGUCCACUACUCUAUAUCAUGCAUGCCAACAUAA